UAGGUUAACGAGGCGAACCGGGGGAACUGAAACAUCUAAGUACCCCGAGGAAAAGAAAUCAACCGAGAUUCCCCCAGUAGCGGCGAGCGAACGGGGAGCAGCCCAGAGUCUGAAUCAGCUUGUGUGUUAGUGGAACGGUCUGGAAAGUCCGACGGUACAGGGUGAUAGUCCCGUACACCAAAAUGCACAGGCUGUGAACUCGAAGAGUAGGGCGGGACACGUGGUAUCCUGUCUGAAUAUGGGGGGACCAUCCUCCAAGGCUAAAUACUCCUGACUGACCGAUAGUGAACCAGUACCGUGAGGGAAAGGCGAAAAGAACCCCGGCGAGGGGAGUGAAAAAGAACCUGAAACCGUGUACGUACAAGCAGUGGGAGCACCUUCGGGUGUGACUGCGUACCUUUUGUAUAAUGGGUCAGCGACUUAUAUUCUGUAGCAAGGUUAACCGUAUAGGGGAGCCGCAGGGAAACCGAGUCUUAACUGGGCGUUAAGUUGCAGGGUAUAGACCCGAAACCCGGUGAUCUAGCCAUGGGCAGGUUGAAGGUUGGGUAACACUAACUGGAGGACCGAACCGACUAAUGUUGAAAAAUUAGCGGAUGACUUGUGGCUGGGGGUGAAAGGCCAAUCAAACCGGGAGAUAGCUGGUUCUCCCCGAAAGCUAUUUAGGUAGCGCCUCGUGAAUUCAUCUUCGGGGGUAGAGCACUGUUUCGGCUAGGGGGUCAUCCCGACUUACCAACCCGAUGCAAACUACGAAUACCGAAGAAUGUUAUCACGGGAGACACACGGCGGGUGCUAACGUCCGUCGUGAAGAGGGAAACAACCCAGACCGCCAGCUAAGGUCCCAAAGUCAUGGUUAAGUGGGAAACGAUGUGGGAAGGCACAGACAGCCAGGAUGUUGGCUUAGAAGCAGCCAUCAUUUAAAGAAAGCGUAAUAGCUCACUGGUCGAGUCGGCCUGCGCGGAAGAUGUAACGGGGCUAAACCAUGCACCGAAGCUGCGGCAGCGACACUAUGUGUUGUUGGGUAGGGGAGCGUUCUGUAAGCCUGCGAAGGUGACCUGUGAGGGUUGCUGGAGGUAUCAGAAGUGCGAAUGCUGACAUAAGUAACGAUAAAGCGGGUGAAAAGCCCGCUCGCCGGAAGACCAAGGGUUCCUGUCCAACGUUAAUCGGGGCAGGGUGAGUCGACCCCUAAGGCGAGGCCGAAAGGCGUAGUCGAUGGGAAACAGGUUAAUAUUCCUGUACUUGGUGUUACUGCGAAGGGGGGACGGAGAAGGCUAUGUUAGCCGGGCGACGGUUGUC
rnacentral:rRNA from 1 species